rnacentral:rRNA from 1 species
GGCCUCAAAUCAGGUAGGACUACCCGCUGAACUUAAGCAUAUCAAUA